ensembl:snRNA U1 U1 spliceosomal RNA
AUGAUUGCCUGGCAAGGGAGAUGCCAUGAUCAAGAAGGUGUUUGUUCCACGGUGAGGCUAAUCCAUUGCACUUGGAUGUGUUGACUCCUGGGACACCCUCCCCACAAAACC